rnacentral:rRNA from 1 species
UACGUAGGAGGCAAGCGUUAUCCGGAAUGACUGGGCGUAAAGGGUGCGUAGGUGGUUUGGCAAGUUGGUAGCGUAAUCCCGGGGCUCAACCUCGGUGCUACUACCAAAACUGUUGAACUUGAGUGCAGGAGGGGUGAAUGGAACUCCAUGUGUAGCGGUAAAAUGCGUAGAUAUAUGGAAGAACACCAGUGGCGAAGGCGGCCGCCUGGCCUGUUACUGACGCUGAGGCACGAAAGCGUGGGGAGCAAAUAGG